rnacentral:rRNA from 1 species
GACGAACGCUGGCGGCGUGCUUAACACAUGCAAGUCGAACGGAAAGGCCCUGCUUGCAGGGUACUCGAGUGGCGAACGGGUGAGUAACACGUGGGUGAUCUGCCCUGCACUUCGGGAUAAGCCUGGGAAACUGGGUCUAAUACCGGAUAGGAGCCAUUUUGAGUGUGAUGGUUGGAAAGUUUUUUCGGUGUAGGAUGAGCUCGCGGCCUAUCAGCUUGUUGGUGGGGUAAUGGCCUACCAAGGCGGCGACGGGUAGCCGGCCUGAGAGGGUGGACGGCCACAUUGGGACUGAGAUACGGCCCAGACUCCUACGGGAGGCAGCAGUGGGGAAUAUUGCACAAUGGGCGCAAGCCUGAUGCAGCGACGCCGCGGGGGGGAUGACGGCCUUCGGGUUGUAAACUCCUUUCGCUAGGGACGAAGCUUUUUGUGACGGUACCUAGAUAAGAAGCACCGGCUAACUACGUG